rnacentral:sRNA from 1 species
CUACCCCAAAAAUGAAAGUUUUAACAACCAGUCCCGUCGCUCCAGUUCACAGAAAAGCAAGACUUUUAACAAGAUGCCUCCUCAAAGGGGCGGCGGCAGCAGCAAACUCUUUAGCUCUUCUUUUAAUGGUGGAAGACGAGAUGAGGUAGCAGAGGCUCAACGGGCAGAGUUUAGCCCUGCCCAGUUCUCUGGUCCUAAGAAGAUCAACCUGAACCACUUGUUGAAUUUCACUUUUGAACCCCGUGGCCAGACGGGUCACUUUGAAGGCAGUGGACAUGGUAGCUGGGGAAAGAGGAACAAGUGGGGACAUAAGCCUUUUAACAAGGAGCUCUUUUUACAGGCCAACUGCCAAUUUGUGGUGUCUGAAGACCAAGACUACACAGCUCAUUUUGCUGAUCCUGAUACAUUAGUUAACUGGGACUUUGUGGAACAAGUGCCAUGAAGUGCCAUCUUGCCCCAUAUGCCUCUAUCCACCUACUGCAGCCAAGAUAACCCGUUGUGGACACAUCUUCUGCUGGGCAUGCAUCCUGCACUAUCUUUCACUGAGU